rnacentral:misc_RNA from 1 species
CAAGGAAUGGGAUGCUUGGGCCAGAUUAUUCUACAAAAUUCUCUCCGUGGCUUGCUUCUGGAACUCUAUCUCCACGUUAUGUCUAUGAAGAGGUAAGGAGAUAUGAAAAGGAGAGGCUUGCAAAUGAUUCAACAUACUGGGUUUUAUUCGAGCUGAUAUGGAGGGAUUAUUUCAGGUUUCUAUCAGUAAAAUAUGGGAACUCUAUUUUUCAUAUAGGUGGGCCAAGAAAAGUGGUGUCUAAGUGGAG